GUGCUCACUUUGAAAGCACAUAUACUAAAAUUGCAACGAUACAGAGAAGAUUAGCAGGGCUAAUGCAAGGAUGACAUGCAAUUCAUGAAUCCUUCCAUAUUUUU
rnacentral:snRNA from 1 species